UAGCCAAGGAUGACUUGCCUGCUCCAUAGUCUAAAAUGUGUUUAAUCACCUUUUAGUUUGGUUUCAGGCAGUCUCCUUGGCUACC